UCCCGUGUGGCUCAGUUGGUAGAGCAUGGUGUUUGCAAUGCCAGGGUUGUGGGUUCAAUUCCCAGGGGGG
rnacentral:tRNA from 1 species